rnacentral:RNase_P_RNA from 1 species
CCAGAGUGCAGCAUAGCGGGUAAUGCCCGUCAUUCUAAAGUGUGUUUAUAACACUUUAGGGGAGGACAAGUGCAACAGAAAGGAUGUACAGGUUAUGCUGUAGUGAAAUCAGGUAAACUCUACGAGGUGCAAUGUUAUGUAAACCAGCGUUUGAAAGUGCACACUUGAGUUGGAGGGUAAACAGUUGGAAUUAUUUGGCAACAAAUAAUCUAGAUAAAUGACAAGGGCUUUUAGGAGUACAGAAUCCGGCUUACGGUCUGCUUUUUUAU